UAUUAAGUUUGAUUUUGGUUUUGGUUGUAUUAAGAUAGUAUUACUUAUUUUUAGUUUAUUUAAUGUGUAAUUUUUUAUCCACUGGUAGUUUUUUGUUUGUUUAAUUAGUGUUCCAGAAUAAUCGGCUAUACAUUUUAAUUUUUAACUCUAUUUAUUGUAGUAUCUUUUUUUGUUUUAUUUUUUUUAUAUUAUUUUUGUAAAAUGUUUUAAUUUUAUUAUAUUUUUAAAGAUAUUGAAAAUUUGUUUGUUGAACUGGAUUAGUACCCAGGUAAUCAAAAUUUAUUAAUUCGGGAGUAAAGUUUUGUUUAAACCGAAAAAAUAUUGACUGACUUUAGAUUUUUCUUUGGAACAUGUGUAUGGAGAGUCCUCUUUCUUAGUGAGUUUUAUUGGCACAUGUAUGAUUGUUUAGUUUUUAUGUUAUUUUGUGAUGCUUUUUUUUUAUUUAAUUGAAAAACAGAUAUAUAUUUGGUUUAUAAGCUUGUUAAUCAUGUGUUACUAUUAUUAAUUUUUUUGGGAUCUUUUUUUUUAAUAUUUUGUGAAAUUGGAAAAGAAAGUAAUUAAAUUUUGAUAUUUUGAUGAAUUUAAUAAAUAAAGUGGUACAAACCAUCCGUCAAUGGCCUAAAGGGGCGUAAGUUGUAGUAUGGUAGAGGUAAGGAAACUUGUCUCUAUUUUUU
rnacentral:rRNA from 1 species